AUUGAACGCUGGCGGCAGGCCUAACACAUGCAAGUCGAGCGGUAGAGAGAAGCUUGCUUCUCUUGAGAGCGGCGGACGGGUGAGUAAUGCCUAGGAAUCUGCCUGGUAGUGGGGGAUAACGUUCGGAAACGGACGCUAAUACCGCAUACGUCCUACGGGAGAAAGCAGGGGACCUUCGGGCCUUGCGCUAUCAGAUGAGCCUAGGUCGGAUUAGCUAGUUGGUGAGGUAAAGGCUCACCAAGGCGACGAUCAGUAGCUGGUCUGAGAGGAUGAUCAGCCACAUUGGGACUGAGACACGGCCCAAACUCCUACGGGAGGCAGCAGUGGGGAAUCUUGCGCAAUGGGCGAAAGCCUGACGCAGCCAUGCCGCGUGUGUGAAGAAGGUCUUCGGAUUGUAAAGCACUUUAAGUUGGGAGGAAGGGCAUUAACCUAAUACGUUAGUGUUUUGACGUUACCGACAGAAUAAGCACCGGCUAACUUCGUGC
rnacentral:rRNA from 1 species